GUUUCCAGCCAGUAAAGGUAUGCUCUACAAACAGAAAGGCUAGGCUGAGAAUCAAGACAUAAUGAUUUGGUUGUCUCCAUUCUAUCAUUCACGCAGCCUAAAGCCCAUAGUUUGGGUAUUAUACUCUGUUUGGUAGAUGAAAAAAAUGUGGAAAAAAGAAA